UCCAUUUCUUCUAAGAUCCCUACUCCACCCA
rnacentral:piRNA from 1 species